rnacentral:rRNA from 1 species
CCUGGCUCAGGAUGAACGCUAGCGAUAGGCUUAACACAUGCAAGUCGAGGGGCAGCAUGGUCUUAGCUUGCUAAGACUGAUGGCGACCGGCGCACGGGUGCGUAACGCGUAUGCAACUUGCCUCACAGAGGGGGAUAACCCGUCGAAAGACGGACUAAUACCGCGUACACUCCAGCUUGGGCAUCCAGGCUAGAGGAAAAGAAAUUCGCUGUGAGAUAGGCAUGCGUCCCAUUAGCUAGUUGGUGAGGUAACGGCUCACCAAGGCAACGAUGGGUAGGGGAACUGAGAGGUUGAACCCCCACACUGGGACUGAGACACGGCCCAGACUCCUACGG